AGUAAGCUCUGAUCAUCACACUGUCGCUUAAAGAAAUACAGUUCCAUAAAAAAAGAUACCGGGACUUGAAAAGGGAGGUUAGAAGGUUAGAAACUAUUUUUUAAUUAUGCAGUAAUGCAUAAAAGAGCAGGUUUGAACACGAGAGCUUAAUCAAGAGUCACAUGUUUAAGGUUACUCUGCACCAUCCUUUGCAUGUGAGUCUGUGGAUUAACGUUUGUAUUGUACAAACACCUGAACAAACACCUUCUGUAUAGCUGCUUAAAUACCGAGGGGGGCAACAAAAUGUAGACACACUUCAACAAAAGAAAAACCUGUAAAAAGGAUGACCUCUGUGCAAGUGACCUUUCUGAGCCCCUAAAGCUCAUUUAUUCAUCUGAAUAUGCCGGAUACGCCGAAAUCCACUGGGUGCAGGGCGAGAAUACAACAAUCCAUGUCCGUUAUGGCCACUCUAACAUGUAU